GUGGGGAAUCUUAGACAAUGGGGGCAACCCUGAUCUAGCCAUGCCGCGUGAGUGAUGAAGGCCUUCGGGUUGUAAAGCUCUUUCAGCUGGGAAGAUAAUGACGGUACCAGCAGAAGAAGCCCCGGCUAACUCCGUGCCAGCAGCCGCGGUAAUACGGAGGGGGCUAGCGUUGUUCGGAAUUACUGGGCGUAAAGCGCACGUAGGCGGACCAGCAAGUUAGGGGUGAAAUCCCGGGGCUCAACCCCGGAACUGCCCUUAAGACUGUUGAUCUGGAGUUCGAGAGAGGUGAGUGGAAUUCCGAGUGUAGAGGUGAAAUUCGUAGAUAUUCGGAGGAACACCAGUGGCGAAGGCGGCUCACUGGCUCGAUACUGACGCUGAGGUGCGAAAGCGUGGGGAGCAAACAGGAUUAGAUACCCGAGUAGUCC
rnacentral:rRNA from 1 species